rnacentral:lncRNA from 1 species
AGAAAAUAGGGAUGACAAGUUUCUUGGGGCACAGUCUAAGUUGGUCUGGUGUCUAGGAUGAGACUGGGACCUAAUAAAAAGGAGCUUCUAUACAGGAGUUUAAAUGGGCUGUACCUUGCAGCAUUCCGAGGACAGGCCUGAAUUCUGAGAAGGGCAAGAGAGAGAAGCCUGGAGCUGGGAUUUGUCUCCAGUCAUGCUGCGUUGAGCUGUAGGUAGAGGCUAGGACUAUUGGCUGAGCAAUGAAGAUAAAGCAACAAACAAGACAAAGUUCCUGCAACUGUGGAACUUCCAUAUGCGUGAAGAAAUGAGGCACUUGACAAGUAAUGACAUUUAUUUUCCCUUAUCUCCCUUAUAUGAAGCAGUGAGCCCAUUACUUUCCAAACAACUGGAGUUCUACCACACACACAUCAGGAUUUCUUAGCUAAAGAGAAAUGGAGUCUUUUCAGUGUGCCCUAAAGGAGGUGGUAAGGAACUGAACCGUAUAUUUUCACAUCUGGUUUGUAGCGUGUUGAAGUCCUAAGUGAAAAGAGCUGAGAGGCAGAGUAAGACAGCCAAAUAGAAAGCCCUACCUAUUGUUUCCCUGAGCAAGGACACCAAAUUAACAGCUAUCUAUAUGAAAAAAACACCUCCAUAAGAACCAAAAAAGAGGUGAGCACUCAUAGUACCUAGUAUUAACUUUACAUCGCUGAAAGAGGCACUGAAGAGACUGAAAAAACAGUCCUGGCCAGGAGUGGUGGCUCAUGCUUGUAAUCCCAGCACUUUGGGAGGCUGAGGCAAGCGGAUUACCUGAGGUCAGGAGUUCAAGACCAGCCUGGCCAGCGUGGUGAAACGCUAUCUCUACUAAAAAUACAAAAUUAGCCAGGUGUUUUGGCACAUGACUGUAAUCCCAGCUACUCAGGAGGCUGAGACAGGAAAAUCUCUUGAACCCAGGAGGGAGAAGUUGCAGUGAGCUGAGAUUGUGCCACUGCACUCCAGCCUGAGAGACAGAGCAAGACUCCAUCUCAAAAAAAAAAAAAGAAAAAGAAAAAAGAAAAAAAAGAAAAAAAAAGAAAACAGUCCUGAAUUGCAGAUGCCACCUCUCCCCACCCCAAGAGUAGCUGUGUGUUGUGGAAUGUAUCUCUGGGUGCUGGGGGAGGGAGAACACAGCAAUUGUGAGGCAUCGAACUCAAUGCUGCCCUGUUAAAGCAGAAAGGAAAACCCAACCACUCUCAGCUGACACCUUUCCACAGAGCAAGCAUUUAAACCAGCCCUAGCCAGAGGGGAAUCUCCCAUCCCAGCAGUCUCCACUUGAAUGCCUGCAAACCUCACCACCAAGAGCUGCAGCCACUCUGUGUCUCCAAGUAAACUUGAAAGGCAGUCUCCGCCAUAAUAGCUGAGACUCAUAGGCGAGUCCUAGGACUGAACUAGGU